rnacentral:tRNA from 1 species
GGCUCUGUGGCGCAAUGGAUAGCGCGUUGGACUUCUAGUCAAAAGCACUUGAGAGGUGAUUCAAAGGUUGUGGGUUCGAGUCCCACCAGAGUCG